rnacentral:rRNA from 1 species
UGAGGAACAUGACCUUCGGCGGGGGAUAGCCGGCCCAACGGCCGGGUAAUACCGCGUACGACCACAUGGGGACAUCCCUGAGUGGUGAAAGCAGCAAUGCGCCGAUGGAGUGCCUCGCGGCCUGUCAGCUAGUUGGUGAGGUAACGACUCACCAAGGCGACGACGGGUAGCUGGUCUGGGAGGAUGGCCAGCCACAUUGGGACUGAGACACGGCCCAGACCUCCGUAGGGACGG